UUGUUUCGUUUUGUUUUUUUUCUUUUUUUUUUUUUUUUUUUUAAUAGAUUUGAGGAACCAUUCUAUUUAUGUGAUGGUUUGGUGGUUUCUCAUUUGUAGUCUCUUGUCUGUCACUUAAACUGGAAAAUGUAGAGAGGAGGAAUAGUCUCCUUUUUAAGUUUCCUCCUCGGACUUUCUUCUUUAUUUACAGUUCCUAUUAUGCUCUGCAAAGGUCAUAAUCAAAAAUAGCAGAGAAAUGCGUGCAAAUAGUCGAGAGGGCAUGGAUUAAAACCCCUUCCAUACCGCCAAAGGCCAGGUCAGACGAGAAUAUGGUGGGGCUGUUUAAGGAGACAUUUAAGGGAGUGGUUCAAAUCUGCGCUUUGUGGUAUCUGGGGUCCUUUCUGAUAGCCAAGAAACUUGUCUAUCACAAAAAAAAGUGAAGGCAUUUCGAAGUUAUCGGCUAUUUUCAUAGCCGGGUUCAACUUCGUAAUACUGUUUGUAAGUCUGGGCUGCAGCGUUUUGACCAGCUGCUUGUAUGCUGCUCUCACCUUCCCAAAAGUACGCCGCUGGAGCAGGACGAGCUUAGAGUUUCACCCUGUCCUCUGGAGGCUUGGCUGGGACCUUUCGAGUGAGUCGCGCUCGGCGCACGGGGAAGCCGGUGCGGGUUUUGCGGGAGGUGCCGCUGCGCGAAAAGGAGCCGGUGGCUCCCGGUCGGGGCUGCGCGGCUGUCCGCGCCCACGUAAAGAUGAGCGUGAGCACUCGAUGCGUGUCCGAGAGCGACCAGAGCCGGCCGCAGAGCCUCUUCACACCACCCCCCUAAGCCGGCGUGUUCAUGCCCGUGGAGCGGGGCUGCGCUGCCUUCAGCCCCCAUUUGCUGACCCUUCGGGCUUGCGCUCCAAGCUUCGAGGUGUAUUUUUAGAUGGCGCUGGCGGUUUUGCUCUGCGACCCCGAGGAAAACCCCGUCGCUUUGUCUCGCCGGCCUUCCGCACCUUCCGCGCCGGGGCCGGGGAGGAGGGCGGCGGGCGGGCCGGCUGUGUCGCCG
rnacentral:lncRNA from 1 species